rnacentral:tRNA from 1 species
GCUGGAAUAGCUCAGUUGGUUAGAGCGUGUGGCUGUUAACCAUAAGGUCGAAGGUUCGACCCCUUCUUCUAGCG